rnacentral:rRNA from 1 species
AAUGAACGUUGGCGGCGUGGAUUAGGCAUGCAAGUCGUACGAGAAUCGUAGCAAUACGAGGAAAGUGGCGGAAGGGAGAGGAUUACGUGGGAAUCUACCCUCAGAACUGGGAUAGCGGCGGGAAACUGCCGGUAAUACCAGAUAAUGUCUGUGGACCAAAGGUGUGAUUCCGUCUGGGGAUGAGCCCACGUCCUAUUAGCUAGUUGGCAGGGUAAUGGCCGACCAAGGAAAGGAUGGGUAGCGGGUGUGAGGGCCUGACCCGCCUCACUGGGACUGAGAACUGCCCAGACACCUACGGGUGGCUGCAGUCGAGAAUCUUCGGCAAUGAGCGCAAGCUUGACCGGGCGACGCCGCGUGCGGGAUGAAGGCCUUCGGGUUGUAAACCGCUGUCGUAGGGGAGCAAGAGAUGAGGGUACUCCCUCUGAUUUGAGCGAUCCUAGGAGGAAGGACGGGCUAAGUUCGUGCCAGCCGCCGCCGUAAAAC